rnacentral:tRNA from 1 species
AAUGAAUUUAAGAUUCAUAUAUAAAUAGAAUUAUUUUUCUAGAA